rnacentral:rRNA from 1 species
UACCGCCGUCGUCAGCUUACCCUAUGAAGGCCCCUUAGUAAGCACAAUUGGCACAGCCUAAAACGUCAGGUCGAGGUGUAGCGUAUGGAAAGGGAAGAAAUGGGCUACAUUCCCUACAAUAGGUAAUUACGGAUAAUAUUACUGAAAUGUAUAUCUAGAAGGAGGAUUUAGCAGUAAGCAGAAAAUAGAGUGUUCUGCUGAAACCGGCCCUGAAGCGCGCACACACCGCCCGUCACUCUCCCCAAGCGUAUCUUCACAACCUAACUUAAAACCUUUCAUUAGCAAAGGGGAGGCAAGUCGUAACAUGGUAAGUGUACCGGAAGGUGCACUUGGUAAAA